AUGUUUUUGCUCAUUAAUUCAGCAUGUAACUCACAUUGCAAUAGAAGCAGAAGAGGUUGAGCCCACAGUCAAACUGUCACUGAAUUCUAAACCAAAACUGAAGUAUGGACUUCUUCGCAUUAGGGUCACGUUGCCAGAACCAUACAAUCAAACGCCUGGCCGGGAGAGUUUUCUUUGCUCUCAGAGUUCCUGUGUGGAAAGGAAAUCUGAGAACUUAUGGUGGUGAGGAAGCCUGCAGCCUCUGAAGGUCAUGGGUGCUGUGGGAGCCACGAGCAAGAGCCAUCAGCCCAGGGAGAUACUGAGGGUCAGGGCAGCUAGGCCUGGAUUAUCUCUGUGUAGCUGGACCCAUCCAACCCUUUGUGGGCAUCACCCUGGAGUGAAAAUCCCUUUUGUUGUUGACGAAAGCUUGAGUUGAGUGAUUACUCUCAAAGUAUGUUAAAAUAUUCUCAUGAGAGAAUUAUACUAUAUUCCUAUGACAGUAUUAAAAGUAAUUUAAAGACCCCACACAUUUACAAAUAAAACUGACACUUGUGAAAACACUGCUUUGCCAUUUACUAUCUAUGUUCCUGGACAAACUAUUAAAUGUGCUGAGUCUAUAGCUCCACUUCAGUUCAGGAUCAAUGAUAUAUAUCUUUUCUUUUUCAAUUUCAAUACAUAACAAUAAGUGUCAUGAGUAGUUCUUGUAACUGAGUAGGCACUCAAAGGGACAUUAAGCUCUUCAUAUCUUCUGCUAUCAUAUUGUAUAUCUUUAUGAUACUUUAAUUUGAACUACAACUCCUGAGAUCUUCUUGAGAGUUCAUCACCGCUGAGAGACAGUUUACACAGACAGGACCACAGACAGAUGGCAUGUGACGAUAGAGCUUUGACCCAUAGUCCCUGCAGCGACUGUCCCCAACAAUGGGGACUUGGUCAAUAACUGCUACCUGCCCUAUUUAUGUCCCAACUCAGGAACAGCAGAUAAAUCCAGUAUGCUUCUUCAAUACUCACAUAGUUCUCUUUCUUUCAUUUUUAAUUUUUCUUACCUUCCACAAUUAAAAAAAUCAGCUAACGAUCAUAGGCAUGCAUCAAUCAAUGCUUCCAAUUUAUAAUGAUUCUUGUAUUAAGAAUUUUCAUCUUUCAUUUUCCUGUGGUUGUUUACACCCCCUCGGGUUCUGCAAACACAUUCAUUGCAUAAAAUUGCAACUCUGAGAAAUUCCAGCACACUGGCAUAGUGUUCUGGACUCUCGCUGUGGUACUACUGCCAGCAGUAUGCUUCCUUAUUAAAAAACACAGAGGCUCACUUGCAGCAGGUUUGAUAGCAGGAUGAUAAAAAUGGCAGGAUAUUUUUAAACACAGAGUUUAUGAGAUGUAUUACAUGGAAUUAAAUUUAGACCAUGUAUCAAGGAAAUCACCGUAGAGCUUUGAGUGUGAUACAGAUUACCCUGGCACUAGCUGGACCACUUUGUUGGCUCAACAACAUCAUUGCCUGAGCGGGAAAUAAAUGCCUGGGUCUAUGGGGGCACUAUCUGGUUGGCCUGUUGGUCACAGCAUUCUCCCCCCACAAGAUAUUUUACCUGGAGGGGUCUGCAGGGCAGCAAUUGGUGGAAAUACGUAGCAGAAGAAGACUAGGACUCUUUCUCCAGCACAGCCCCUCCACCUCAGCACACGUCCUCUGCUCCUGAUGAUGGCACAGAUAUCAGGGAUUUGACAGGACAUACUCAGGAAAAUGUUUUCAGGUUUUUGUCGGUUUGUUUUAGUUUUGUUUUUGGUAGCAUCAAUCUAAAUGUAAGGUUAUUGUGAUGGUGAAUAUUGAGGUCAGCUUGAUUGAAGGAUGCAAAGUGUGGUUCCCGGGUGUGUCUGUGAGGGUGUUGCCAAAGGAGAUUCACAUUUGAGUGGUGUACUGGCGGAGGCAGACCCACCCUCAGUCUGGGUAGGCACCAUCUAAUCAGCUGCCAGGGCCACUAGAAUAAAAGCAGGCAGAAAACAUAAAGGCCUAGACUGGCUGAGUCUUCCGGCCUCCGUCUUUCUCCUGUGCUGGGUGCUUCCUGUCCUUGAACAUCAUCAAGCUCCAAGUUCUUCAGCUUUGGGAAUCUUGGGCCUUCGGCCACAGACUGGAGACUGCAGUCAGCUUCCCUACUUUUGAGGUUUGGGGAAUUGGACUGGCUUCCUUGCUCCUCAGCUUGCAGACUGCCUACUGUGGGACUUCACCUUGUGAUCAUGUGAGUCAACGCUCCUUAAUGAACUCUUCUUCAUGUAUACAUCUAUCCUAUUAAUUCUGUCCCUCCAAGAACCCUAACUAAUACAGUUACACUUCUGGUCAUCAUCUGGGAUUUUAUAUGUAAAUCUCAGAAUUAAUUCAACAAAAUUUG